GUUAUCUUAUUACCCAAAAAAUAACUUGAAGGGUGUGUUUGGUUCGCAUUAUGAAAGAUUAUUAGAAAUAAAAGAUAUUCGAGAAUCUUAUUUCUAUUCAUUCUAUUACUAAGAAUGUGGAAUUCCUAUAUUUGGCUCGCACGGUAAUAUUAAUUAGCCAUGUUAUUUAAUAUUACAAAAAAUAUACAAUUAAUUUAUUUAUUUAUUUAUUUAAUUUUAGAUAAUAUUAUCAAAAGUUUCAACAUCUUUUUAGAAAAAGGAGAGAGAGUAUAAGUUAGAGAGAGAGAGCAUAAUUAAAAAAAUAGAAAGAAAAAUAUAGUCGAAAUUAGAGGGAGCGAGAGAGUUGAAAUUUUAGAAAGAGAGAGAAAAAGCUUAAUUUAGAGAGAGAAAAAUAAUUUUAGAGAGAGAUAUAAGGUUAGAGUGUAACGAAAAAUAAUAUCAAUUAGCCGGCGGGUAGAAAGAAAGAAAGAGAUUAGACAUAUUAUGAUUAUCCCAAUCCAUUAAUAUGAGAUACCCACCCUCCCUCAAGGGAAUGAGAUUAGUACUUUGGGUGAAUUUUAUUCCCAAGUGAAUCCAAUAUUACCAACUAGAUUACUUAGUGCGUUUAGCCAAAUACUGUCAUAUUUUUUUAUUCCCAUUGGAUUACUAGGAAUCUUUAAAAAUAGCGCGAACCAAACGCACCCGAAAGCUAACAUUUUUUUUUUUUUGAGAGAUAAGUAGCACGCUACCCGCUUCGUUUAUUUUAUUUAGAAAUAAAUUUAGCUGGAAAUGUGAAUCAAUUAGGAUUCGAACUUGAGUCUCGGGUACCAAUCACCAAGCCCUUUGCUACUUGCUUUAGGGACGAUCGGUAAGCUAAUAUAAUUAGUAUGCCAUUAUGGAGUUAUAAUCAUUUA
rnacentral:lncRNA from 1 species